UUUUUUAAUUGGGGACUGGAAUGAAAGGUUGAAACUGAAGGGAAGGUUUUUUAGAAAAAUUUUGAAUUUAAUUUAAAAGUAAAAAAGCUUUUAUUACUCCUUGGGACGAGAAGACCCUAAAAGUUUAAAAUAUUAUAUAUUUUUAAUUGGGGCAAUUAUUGAAGAUGAAAAUUUUUAAUUAAAAACAAAAAAGUAUUGGAAAUUACUUUAGGGAUAACAGCGUUAUUUAAUUGAUGAGUUCUUAUUAAGAAUUAAGUUUGCGACCUCGAUGUUGAAUUAAAU
rnacentral:rRNA from 1 species